AACGAACGUUUUCAGUGUUGUAAUCUCUGAAUCUGACCAAUAAAUAGUCCUAAGAUUUUUCAUAACCCAAUUCGGCCUUGACUUUAGCAGAGUCUGACUAUAUGCCUUCCAUCUCCCUAUGCCUUUUCUGUGGCAUCCACAAAUGCUUUCUCGGAGCGAUAACCAAUAUGCUGCCUUUUCUGGUGGCAGUUCCUCGUCCCAGCCAAUUUUAUUUUUCCACAGCUGCUGAAUAAAGACCUUCGCUGCUGACACCACAGGGCCUACAAUUCCUAAGGAGUCGAAGAAUCUUGCCGAAUCAGA